CUGAGUAAACCUCUGGCCCGCGCAGGGUCUCGGCAGAGGUGUUGGCUGUCUCUGCUGACUGCUUCCCUGCGGGGGCUGCAGACCAGGGUUGGGGCGGGCCGGCCUGGAGGUUUACAUCUCAACAGCAGCAGCGGCGGCAGCAUGAGUUCAUACGUGAUUCCACAUAUAAGUGACAUCAUAUGAUAUUUGUCUUUGGCUUACUUCACUUCCACAAAUAGAUGGGGAAACAAUGGAAGCAGUGACAGACUUUAUUUUUUUGGCCUCCAAAAUCACUGCAGAUGGUGACUGCAGCCAUGAAAUUAAAAGACGCUUGUUCCUUGGAAGGAAAGUUAUGACCAACCUAGAUAGCAUAUUAAAGAGCAGAGACAUUGCUUUGCCAACCAAGGUCCGUCUAGUCAAGGCUAUGUUUUUUCCAGUGGUCAUGUAUGGAUGUGAGAGUUGGACUAUAAAGAAAGCUGAGUGCCAAAGAAUUGAUGCUUUUGAACUAUAGUGUUAGAGAAGACUCUUGAGAGUCCCUUGAACUGCAAGGAGAUCCAACCAGUCCAUCCUAAAGGAGAUCAGCCCUGGGUGUUCAUUGAAAGGACUGAUGUUGAAGCUGAAACUCCAAUACCUUGGCCACCUCUUGCAAAGAGUUGACUCAUUUGAAAAGACCCUGAUGCAGGAAAGGCGGGAGGAGAAGGGGAUGACAUGGUUGGAAGGCAUCACCGACUCAAUGGGCAUGAGUUUGAGUAAGCUCUGGGAGUUGGUGAUGGACAGGGAGGCCUGGCAUGCUGCAGUCCAUGGGGUCAAAAGGAGUUGGACACGACUGAGGGACUGAACUGAACUACUUCACUUAGGAUAAUCUCUAGGUUCCUCCAUGUUGCUGCAAAUGGCAUUAUCUCUUUCUUUUUUAUGGCUGAGUAGUAUUUCAUUAUAUAUGUAUAACAUAUAUACACAUACACACAUGCACACACCACAUCUUCUUUAUCCAUUCAUCUGUCAAUGGACAUUUAGUUUGUUUCCAUGUUUUGUCUACUGUAAAUAGUGCUGCUAUGAACACAGGGGUGCAUGAGUCAUUUUGGAUUAGAGUUUUCUCCAGGUAUAUGGCCAGGAAUGGGACUGCUGGAUCAUGAGCAUGCAUGCUAAGUCCCUUCAGUUGUGUCUGACUCUUUGUGACCCCAUGGACUGUAGCCCGCCAGGCUCCUCUGUCCAUGGAAUUCUCCAGGCAAGAAUACUGGAGUGGGUUGCCAUGCCCUCCCUCCUUUAGGGGAUCUUUGCAACCCCAGGAUCUAACCAUGUCUCUUAUGUCUUCGGCAUUGGCAGCUGGGCUCUUCACCUCUAGUGCCACCUGGGAAACCCUUGCUGGAUCACAUGGUAGCUCUAUUUUUAGUUUUUUAUGGAAACUCAGACUGUUCUCCAUAGUGUCUGUACCAAUUUACAUUCCCAGCAACAGUGUUGGUGGGUUCCCUUUUUGGAAGGCUCUUUGGACGUGAAGCGAUGGGACUGAAGAAGCAGUAGGAUCCAGAUUUCCAAGCGCCUGGUCUAUCAGCUAUAGGUGACGGUAUCAGAGAAGAAAGUUCAUGACUUUUCCUCUCAUCCAAGAAGAGCUGACUCACUGGAAAAGACCCUGAUGCUGGGAAAGAUCGAAGGCGGGAAGAGAAGGGGGUGACAGAGGAUGAGAUGUUUGGAUGGCAUCACCGACUCAGUGGACAUGGGUUUAGGCAAACUCCAGGAGACAGUGAAAGACCGGGAAGCCUGGCGUGCUGGAGUCCAUGGGGUCACAAAGACUCAGACACGACAGCAAUGACUGAGCAGCUAGAGAUGCGGCAUGCCCUGAAGGGACUCAGGAAAAUUGCAUGCUGUCUCCGUUGUAGAGUCUGCCGUCGUGUAAACGUCUCGCCUCUCCUAAACCCUUGCUCUCUUGACUGAAUACACGGGGAUCUUGCAGCAGUGUACAUGUUCAAUGCCUGUUUAUGGACGUGUGUCAGUGGCUUCUUUCCCCCUCCUCCCACCCCUGUCCACAAGAUGCCACAUCGUGCAGUGGUUCACGAUGUGUGGUCCCAGGUCGCUCAGCUCUCACUCUCCAAGCCCCACCUCCCCUUCCCUGGCUUCGGUCUCCAUUAAGGAAGUCAGAGCGGUGCUGUUCUCUCAAGGAGCUUCAAAGGCCUAAGAGCAGGAGCCCCAGGUGAGGCGUGAGCAAGCUCUGACCUGCGGCCUCCUCAAGCAUAGAAGAGGACAUUUGGCCCAAAGGCUCUCUAAGAAAACUUCUAGAGCUAACUGCACGGGUCAGUUUUUCCCUUGAGCUUUUAAUGAUGGUGUCUGGUAUCAUGCGGCUAUGAAAAACAAAACACUUGUACCCUAGGGCCCACGAGCCGCAACUGCUGAGCCCGAGAGUUGUUAAUGACUGAAGCCCAGAGCCUGUCCUCCGCAACAAGAGAAGCCUGUGCACCGCACCUAGAGAGGAGACCCCACGCCCCACAGCUAGAGAGAGCCUGCAUGCAGCAGCAGAGACCCAGCUCAGACAAAAUGAAAAAGCAAGGGUCAAAAUAAGUUACUCAACCUGUUCUGAAAGUGGUUUUAAUGAUAAAUGUUUAAAUGAAUUAACAUGAUAGCGGCUCAGGUGGCCCACACCAAGCCAGGAGUCCUUUCCCGGAUAUGCCGAGUUUGAGGGCAGAGAAGGAGCUGUGUACAUCUCUGGUACUCAUUAACUAUGACAAGUGCCCACUGUUGUCAGGUGGUUUGAGAAAAACAGUUUUCUGAGACAUGAAUGUCUUUUAUAAUUUUCUCUCAUUGUCUUAGAACUGAAUUUUGCUUUUACUGGGGUUCCUUUUCCAAGAUUUCUUUUGAUAUUAACAUUCCUAUUAAUACUCUUAAAAAACUGUCAAUUUUGUAUUGACUGUAGGAUGAAGACAGAUGCUCUUAAAACACAGAAUUAAGAUUUUUGUUUUUGAGAGUCAAGGAUCUAUCCUGGUUCAAUAAGAAAGAGUUUAGAUCUUUUCUGUUCUCUUCAGGACUUCCUAGUUUUGAAAACACUGGAGGUGUUUCGAAAUGGACUUGUAAGCAAGCAGGAAUUGGUACAUUUUUGUGUUCUCGGUAUUAAGGAGAGCAAAUGGCUCAGGAAAUAUUUGUUGAAUGAACGAAUGGAUAUAUGGAAUGGGCAUGUGAAUAUACAUGAAGGAAUCUAUGGAAAUACAUGGCAAGCGUUUAUGGAAUGUAUUUAUCCAGAGUCUGACAGACCUUUAUGAGCUUUGUGGCAAAAAUAAUCAUUUUUCUAUAAUCGUACUUUUCACUUGUAAAAUGGAGGUGAUGGUUGUUCGAUAAGACUGUGCGCUGCCUGGGACUCUGCUGGCAGCCCAGCGGUUAAGACUUUGCUUUCCAAGGCAGAAGGUGAGGCUUCAAUCCCUGGUUGGGGAGCUAAAAUCUCACAUGCCUCAUGGCCCAAAAAUCAGAAUGUAAACAACAGAAGCAGCACUGUAACAAGUCCAAUAAAGAGUUUUUAAAUGGUCCACAUUAAAAAAAAAAAAAAAAGACUACGCAGGCCUGAUAUAGAGUGUGACAUGUGAGCUCUGACUCUAAAGGCUAAAAAGGAGCUCUGCCCUUCCCAUUCAAAGUUUAAACCUAUUUUUAUGAGAGGGGGGAUUAUCAACUUCGAAAUACAUCAGAGUUGUUGACAUUUUGCUAGGAAUUCUUUCUAAUUCUGUGAUUAAUGCAAACUCACAGUAAAGCAGAACUCUCCCUCACUAGCC